ACCAAUACAAUUCUACAUUUUAUUAAAAAAUCAAAUCAUAUCUAUCAUUGUAAACUGAGCUUAUAACAGGGAAGAAGAACCAACUAUUUUAAUGCGAGUAGGAAAUAUUAACAGAUUCGGUCAAUAGGAUAUGGGGAUAAAUCAUAAUGAAAGAGCGGUAACUAUUAAGUAUCGACUUCGUCAGCAAUUUGGAAUACCUAAAGUCGAUAUUAUAAGUAAGAAAAAAUUAUUAAAUCGUAACAAGUUUCAGGGCAACCAGUUCGAAAGAGACCGAGAUGCCAUUCUAGUGCCAAGGGAUACCGUUCUUGUUCCAAAUGGGAAGAACGCAAUCAAAUACGCAACAAAUGAUAAUAUAUGUAAGACUCCAAAAACGAUGCUAAG